AAUGAACGUUGGCGGCGUGGAUUAGGCAUGCAAGUCGAGCGAGAACCCUCCGCAAGGAGGGGGACAGCGGCGAAAGGGAGAGUAACGCGUGGAUUAUUUGCCCCCGGGACCGGGAUAGCCGCGGGAAACUGCGGGUAAUACCGGAUGACGUCUCCGGACCAAAUGGUGUGAUUCCGCCAGGGGAUAAGUCCGCGUCCUAUUAGCUAGUUGGUGGGGUAAUGGCCUACCAAGGCAAUGAUGGGUACUGGGUGUGAGAGCACGACCCAGCUCACUGGGACUGAGACACUGCCCAGACACCUACGGGUGGCUGCAGUCGAGGAUCUUCGGCAAUGGGCGCAAGCCUGACCGAGCGACGCCGCGUGUGGGAUGAAGGCCUUCGGGUUGUAAACCGCUGUCAGUGGGGAGGAAAUGUCUAGGGGUUCUCCCCUAGAUUUGACCUAUCCGCAGAGGAAGUCAGGGCUAAGUUCGUGCCAGCCGCCGCGGUAA
rnacentral:rRNA from 1 species